GUGUGGUAUCGUCUCUGAAGAUCUCAGUCACACGCAGUGCUGGAACGCUAGUCUGUGUCACCCCCAUCUAUGCAUGCUCCACCAGAACCGACCAUGAUUUGUACGGCGUUCCUUGUAUUGACACUCUCAGUGUUUGUAGCUGAGCCCCGAAGUGUUGUUCAAACUAAAUCCGGACUUUGCGAGCCGAACUGGUGCGGAAUGGUCUCAUUUAGGAUAACGUCGUCAAGGGGUAACGUCAACAACGGUUACUGGCUGUGUCAACUUCGCAAGCUCUACUGCUUGACCACAACGACAGCCCGGCCAACUACAACGACUACAACCACAACAACUACAACAACGCCAACCACAAC